GGGCCCUUAGCUCAGUCUGGUGAGAGCGCUCGGCUCAUAACCGAGUGGUCGGUGGUUCGAAUCCGCCAGGGCCCA
rnacentral:tRNA from 1 species